AUUGAACGCUGGCGGACUGCUUUACACAUGCAAGUCGAACGGUAGAGGGGGCAACCCCUUGAGAGUGGCGAACGGGUGAGUAAUAUAUCGGAACGUGCCCAGUCGUGGGGAUAACGUAGCGAAAGUUACGCUAAUACCGCAUACGAUCUAAGGAUGAAAGCGGGGGAUCGCAAGACCUCGCGCGAUUGGAGCGGCCGAUAUCAGAUUAGGUAGUUGGUGGGGUAAAGGCUCACCAAGCCAACGAUCUGUAGCUGGUCUGAGAGGACGACCAGCCACACUGGAACUGAGACACGGUCCAGACUCCUACGGGAGGCAGCAGUGGGGAAUUUUGGACAAUGGACGCAAGUCUGAUCCAGCCAUUCCGCGUGCAGGAUGAAGGCCCUCGGGUUGUAAACUGCUUUGUACGGAACGAAAAGGUUUCUCUUAAUACGAGGAGCUCAUGACGGUACCGUAAGAAUAAGCACCGGCUAACUACGUGCCAGCAGCCG
rnacentral:rRNA from 1 species